rnacentral:misc_RNA from 1 species
GAUGAAGAACGCAGUGAAAUGCGAUACGUAAUGUGAAUUGCAGAAUUCAGUGAAUCAUCGAAUCUUUGAACGCACAUUGCGCUCUCUGGUAUUCCGGAGAGCAUGCUUGUUUGAGUAUCAGUAAACACCUCAACUCCUUUAUUGUAGUUGGACUUGAGCUAUCCCAACAGGACUUUUUGUUCCUGGCGGGAGGCUUGAAAUGCAGGUGCAGCUGGACUUUCUUCUGAGCUAUAAGCAUAUUUAUUUAAUCCCUUAACACGGAUUAUUACUUUUUUGCUGCAGCUAACAUAAAGGUUGAAUUUCCAUUGAGCUGACUGAAGCAGGAAUUUGGCAAGGAAUUUUUUUAAUGACUUGUUAAACUCGAUCUCAAAUCAAGUAAGACUACCCGCUGAACUUAAGCAUAUCAAUAAGCGGAGGA